UGGGGAAUAUUGGACAAUGGGCGAAAGCCUGAUCCAGCCAUGCCGCGUGAGUGACGAAGGCCUUAGGGUUGUAAAACUCUUUCGUCGGGGACGAUAAUGACGGUACCCGAAGAAGAAGCUCCGGCUAACUUCGUGCCAGCAGCCGCGGUAAUACGAAGGGAGCUAGCGUUGUUCGGAAUCACUGGGCGUAAAGCACACGUAGGCGGAUAGUUAAGUCAGGGGUGAAAUCCUGGGGCUCAACCCCAGAACUGCCUUUGAUACUGGCUGUCUCGAGGUCGAGAGAGGUUGGUGGAAUUCCUAGUGUAGAGGUGAAAUUCGUAGAUAUUAGGAAGAACACCAGUGGCGAAGGCGGCCAACUGGCUCGAUACUGACGCUGAGGUGCGAAAGCGUGGGGAGCAAACAGGAUUAGAUACCCCAGUAGUCCCUGAGCGGGCUGGCAAGGCGCAU
rnacentral:rRNA from 1 species